rnacentral:misc_RNA from 1 species
AAACUGCGAUAAGUAGUGUGAAUUGCAUUUAGUGAAUCAUCGAAUCUUUGAACGCACCUUGCACUCACUGGUAUUCUGGUGAGUACGCCUGUUUCAGUAUCAUUGAAAACACACAAUCAAAACAUUUUCUUUGGUUUGAUUGGCUUUGGGUCUAUCAAAAAGUUUGGCUUGUUUCUUACAAGCCAAGCGGCCUGAAAUAUAUUGUCUGGCUAAUUGCAUCGUUGAUGAUCGCUAUUAGACUUUGGCUUUUUUAAAUGAACUGGAGGUUGAUUAACCAGUUUUAGCUUUAGUCAAAUGGUCAUUGUAAAAAAAAUCUCGAUCUUGGCUAGGUGUUUAUAGCCGAAAAUUUUUUUUUGGCUAUAACCGAAACCAAUAUAAUCACAUUUAGUUAUCGAUCUGAAAUCAGGUGGGACUACCCGCUGAACUUAAGC